ACGAACGCUGGCGGCAGGCCUAACACAUGCAAGUCGAACGAACCUUGGAGUGAGUGGCGCACGGGUGCGUAACACGUGGGAAUAUACCCUUCAGUGCGGAAUAACGUAGAGAAAUUUUAGCUAAUACCUUAUAAUAUCUUCGGAUCAAAGAUUUAUCGCCUAGGGAUCAGCCCGCGUCUGAUUAGUUUGUUGGUGAGGUAAUGGCUCACCAAGACUACGAUCAGUAGCUGAUCUGAGAGGAUGAUCAGCCACACUGGUACUGAGACACGGACCAGACUCCUACGGGAGGCAGCAGUGAGGAAUAUUGGACAAUGGAGGAAACUCUGAUCCAGCCAUGCCGCGUGAGUGAAGACGGCCUUAGGGUUGUAAAGCUCUUUCAGAUGUGAAGAUAAUGACGGUAGCAUCAGAAGAAGCCCCGGCUAAAUUCGUGCCAGCAGCCGCGGUAAUACGAAUGGGGCAAGCGUUGUUCGGAAUAACUGGGCUUAAAGCGUCCGCAGGCGGUCAGUAAAGUCAGAAGUGAAAUCCCAGAGCUCAACUCUGGAACUGCUUUUGAAACUCACUGACUAGAAUAUUGGAGAGGUUGGGAGAAUUCCUAGUGUAGAGGUGAAAUUCGCAGAUAUUAGGAGGAAUACCAGUGGCGUAGGCGCUUGACUGGACCGGUAUUGACGCUCAUGUACGAAAGCGUGGGGAGCAAACAGGAUUAGAUACCCUGGUAGUCCACGCCGUAAACGAUGUAUGCUAGUUGUUGGAGUCUUAAGGCUUCAGUGACGCAGAAAUCAUUAAGCAUACCGCCUGGGGAGUACGGUCGCAAGAUUAAAACUCAAAGGAAUUGACGGGGACCCGCACAAGCGGUGGAGCAUGUUGUUUAAUUCGAAGCAACGCGAAGAACCUUACCCACACUUAACUAUCCUCUUGGGGCUUUCAGAGAUGAUCGCUUUCGGUUCGGCCGGGGAGUGAAUAGGUGCUGCAUGGCUGUCGUCAGCUCGUGUCGUGAGAUGUUGGGUUAAGUCCCGCAACGAGCGCAACCCUUAUUGCUAGUUGCCAUCAUUUAGUUGGGCACUCUAGUGAGACUGCCGGUGAUAAGCCGGAGGAAGGCGGGGACGACGUCAAGUCAUCAUGGCCCUUACGGGUUGGGCUACAAACGUGCUACAAUGGCUGUGACAGUGGGCAGCGACCUCGCGAGAGGAUGCUAAUCUCCAAAAACUGUCUCAGUUCGGAUUGUUCUCUGCAACUCGAGAGCAUGAAGUUGGAAUCGCUAGUAAUCGUGCAUCAGCAUGUCACGGUGAAUACGUUCCCGGGUCUUGUACACACCGCCCGUCAAGUCAUGGGAGUUGGUUCUACCCGAAGGUGCCGCGCUAACUACGGAGGCAGGCAACCACGGUAGGAUCAGCGACUGGGACUAAGUCGUAA
rnacentral:rRNA from 1 species